GAGCGAGGCGAGGUAGAGCACGAACGAGGCGAAGCAGAUGAGAUUGAAGGCGGAUUUCAAUCUUCUGGGCUUUGGUUCUUUUCUUUUCGUUUCUUUUCUUUCGUUUUUCUGAUCUUUGUGGGUCUCUGAUUGUUGUUUUUUUAAGGGGUUCUUUGCUUCUUGCAGAAAUUGGUGGAAUGAUAUGGGGUUUAGGGUUUCUGCCGCUCCUUCAAUCAUCAGGAAUGUUUUCGUUUUGCUAAUUUCAGCUUUCACCCACUACCAUUGCAUGUUUUGUUCUCUGUCAUCUGAAUCCUUGAUCUUUCAACGUUUUAACUUAUAUUCGAUUAUCCAUCUUUAUUGUUUCAGAUUAAUCUGAACCAGAGCGUGUCAUUUCCGUCAAUCCGUCAUCAUCGUCCAGGUCUAGCGCUUCAACUCUUUUCUUUCUCUUUAUUGUUUCAGGUUUUUUCUUCCCUUUUUGUACUCUGUUGUUCUCUUUCAAUUAGAUUAGUUAAUUUCCAAAUUAAUUAUGUCUCUUACAAUUCUUUGAAAAUAUGAUUAUAAUUGUUACUACUGUUAAAAAAAGAGUGUAUAAUUGUUACUUUUCCAGGAUACAAAUCCAAAUACCCUGAGCUUCCUGGUGUGGAUUGUAUAUUAGGCUUCGUAAUGUUGCUUCCACGAAUCUAAUAAAUCAGUUUUACAUAACAAACAAGCUCAAUUCACCACACCACACCCUCAAUCAAUCCUCCAAUAUGGAACACAAACUCAAACCAUAAUUAGUCAAGGAUGAUUGAUUUGUUUAAACCAUCAUCAAGGGUCAGUGAGUAAUGGGUUUGGUUUGGCUUAGCAGAACCUGAUGUAUCCAAAUUACUGGGAAAUUUUCAAGAUUUCCCAGAAAAGUUUAUGAUCCAAAUUCUGUAACUUAACUUUGGUUUGUGUUUUUCACUGAUUCAGAAGAUGAUGUGAAAUGGAGGAUCAUUACCAUUUAAGGACACGUUGAGUUGAAUCAGGUAACGUCAUUUUCUUAUUGCCAAUAUAAUUCAUUAACGGCCCAUCUCUUUAAACUUUAAGGUUUUUUUUUUAAUGUGUUUAAAGAAUUUAUGAUGAAACCACGUUUUUUGACAUUGUUAGUUAUAGCACUUUUAAAAUUGAAUGAUUGAAGUAAGUUGUAACAACAGGGCAAAAGUGUCAUGCUAAGAAACUUUUGUUUAUGAAAUCAUGUGAAUUGUAGCAUUGAUUUGGAAAGCACUGUAGAUGUUUCAUGUAAAAAGCUGUAGUUGCAGAUGUAAAUUUAAUUGGUGAAGGUCUGAAUGAGUGGCAGCGGCGCGAAGGAAGACAGGAUGGCUGGAUCGAAAUGCAACGGGACCAGCGAAAUGAGUUUCUGCAGCCCCAUUCCAUUGAGAGAAGAUCCUCAAUCAGGUAAGACAUAUUUUUCCUCCUCACUAAUUUGUAUCUUUGCAGUUACAUUUUAGCUUUUGCUACAAACUCUCUGUGUGUUUCUCUUCGUACAAUGCAACUCAUGCUGCAUUUCUUCCACAGGUUGAACAAUGAUGUGUACGGAACUUUGGACACUCAUUUUCAUUUUGCCAUUCAGAACCUCUUCUCCUCUGCCGCUCAGCUAAGCCCACCAUCUGAUUACGUCGUCAAGGUCUUCCUUCUGAUGAGAUCGACGAUCAAUUUCGUUCUUA
rnacentral:lncRNA from 1 species